rnacentral:lncRNA from 10 species
GCCCUUCGCCGCCCAGCGAGUUGUGGAGCCGCAGCUCCGAGUGUGGAAUCCGCCAGCCCCGAGAGGAAACGCCACACUUCACCACCACUUCCUCAGCGCGUGUGCUGUGCCUGGGUCCGUGACAAGCUAAGGGAAGACGGAGGUAGCAUAGUAAAAUGACACCCACAAACCCAAGCCCUCAAGGCUCAAAAAGGGCUGCCAAGUGCGAGCACUUGUCAUCCUGUUUUUCCCACUUCACGGAGGUGAAGCUGAGACUGGGAGAGAUGAGAAGUCACUUCGAUUAGCAAGCGGUGCAGUGAGCACGGACUGUCUCCCAAAACAGCGGGGUUAGGCAGGGUUCGUACUAGUAGCUGAACCAAAAAAGGGAACCGACCUCACCUGCCUCCCCUAGGGAAGGCGAUCCUAAUAUCAUUUCUCUUUUACAUAAAGGAGAGUGAGGCUUAGAGGCGCCAGCUGAGGUGUCAGUCACAUCCUGAAGGAAGACUUCUCUUAUCCCUGAAGGGUUCACAAAGAAGGCGAAGCAACGAAGUUACAGCAGAAUUUGCAAAAAUCUAUCCACGUUUCUACCCCAGUCCAAAGCUCGCCAUCAAAACUCAUCUCAGGAGAGCUAUGAUUGGUGGUGCAGGGUGAAUGUCACAUUUAGAUUUCAGCAUUUGAGGCUUCCAGCCGUACUGGCAGAACUGAGAGGCCUUGCUCAUGCGACUUGAAACUUAAGCGCUGUUUCCAGACCAGGGUGCUUGAGUGCACUAAGAAUUAAAGUCUUUGAUGAAUUCUAUAAUUAGCUUAUCAACAGCACAAUUACAUUGCAGUAUAAUUGUGUGUAUAUGUGUGCGUGCGUGUGUGUGUUAAAGGUGUUCCUUUGUUAAUUUGGAGCUUUUAAAAUAUGCCAUAUUUUUUAACCUCUGUGGAAGCAAAGCUGGCACCUUGCUCUUUAUCCACCACAGGAAGGGAUGUAUAUCACCUCUCAGUCAGAAAAGGAA